rnacentral:ncRNA from 2 species
UACUUAUCCAGAAAGACUGAGGGAAAGGCCCUGUGAUGUCUUAGCAACCUGUUAUUUUAAUAAGGUGCUAAUUCCUGUCCGCCAUUUGGCGGAAGAGAUAAGUU